UGUUUGCUGUGAUAAAUCAAAAUGACGGUAUAUGAGUAAGGUGGCUUUAAAAAUGGCUCUGCAUUGAUUAUGCAUCAUAAUCUGAUCAUAUAUCCUAAGCGAUCA